GGUGAGUAACACGUGGGUAACCUGCCUGUAAGACUGGGAUAACUCCGGGAAACCGGAGCUAAUACCGGAUAGUUCCUUGAACCGCAUGGUUCAAGGAUGAAAGACGGUUUCGGCUGUCACUUACAGAUGGACCCGCGGCGCAUUAGCUAGUUGGUGAGGUAACGGCUCACCAAGGCGACGAUGCGUAGCCGACCUGAGAGGGUGAUCGGCCACACUGGGACUGAGACACGGCCCAGACUCCUACGGGAGGCAGCAGUAGGGAAUCUUCCGCAAUGGACGAAAGUCUGACGGAGCAACGCCGCGUGAGUGAUGAAGGUUUUCGGAUCGUAAAGCUCUGUUGUUAGGGAAGAACAAGUGCAAGAGUAACUGCUUGCACCUUGACGGUACCUAACCAGAAAGCCACGGCUAACUACGUGCCAGCAGCCGCGGUAAUACGUAGGUGGCAAGCGUUGUCCGGAAUUAUUGGGCGUAAAGGGCUCGCAGGCGGUUUCUUAAGUCUGAUGUGAAAGCCCCCGGCUCAACCGGGGAGGGUCAUUGGAAACUGGGAAACUUGAGUGCAGAAGAGGAGAGUGGAAUUCCACGUGUAGCGGUGAAAUGCGUAGAGAUGUGGAGGAACACCAGUGGCGAAGGCGACUCUCUGGUCUGUAACUGACGCUGAGGAGCGAAAGCGUGGGGAGCGAACAGGAUUAGAUACCCUGGUAGUCCACGCCGUAAACGAUGAGUGCUAAGUGUUAGGGGGUUUCCGCCCCUUAGUGCUGCAGCUAACGCAUUAAGCACUCCGCCUGGGGAGUACGGUCGCAAGACUGAAACUCAAAGGAAUUGACGGGGGCCCGCACAAGCGGUGGAGCAUGUGGUUUAAUUCGAAGCAACGCGAAGAACCUUACCAGGUCUUGACAUCCUCUGACAACCCUAGAGAUAGGGCUUUCCCUUCGGGGACAGAGUGACAGGUGGUGCAUGGUUGUCGUCAGCUCGUGUCGUGAGAUGUUGGGUUAAGUCCCGCAACGAGCGCAACCCUUGAUCUUAGUUGCCAGCAUUCAGUUGGGCACUCUAAGGUGACUGCCGGUGACAAACCGGAGGAAGGUGGG
rnacentral:rRNA from 1 species